UCCGGUUGAUCCUGCCGGACCCCACUGCUAUCGGGAUAGGACUAAGACAUGCUAGUCGUGCGCUUCAGCCAAAACGAGGCGCGGCAUACAGCUCAGUAACACGUGGCUAAUCUGCCCUUGGGACGAAAACGACCCCGGGAAACUGGGGCUAAUUUUCGAUAGGUGAAGAACUCUGGAAUGAGUCUUCGCUUAAAAAGCUUCACGUUACGCUCGUGAAGUCGCCCAAGGAUGAGGCCGCGACCGAUCAGGUUGUUGGUGAGGUAAUGGCUCACCAAGCCUUUUACCGGUGCGGGCCGUGAGAGCGGGAGCCCGGAGAUGGGCACUGAGACAAGGGCCCAGGCCCUACGGGGCGCAGCAGUCGCGAAAACUUUGCAUACACGAAAGUGUGACAGGGCUAUCCCGAGUGCCAUCCGCUGAGGAAGGCUUUUACCCAGUCUAGAACGCUGGGGGAAUAAGGAGAGGGCAAGUCUGGUGUCAGCCGCCGCGGUAAUACCAGCUCUCCGAGUGGUGUGGAUGUUUAUUGGGCCUAAAGCAUCCGUAGCUGGCUAAGUAAGUCCUUGUUAAAUCCACCGAAUUAAUCGUUGGAUUGCGGGGGAUACUGCUUGGCUAGAGGACGAGAGAGGCAGACGGUAUUUCCGGGGUAGGGGUGAAAUCCUAUAAUCCCGGGAAGACCACCAGUGGCGAAGGCUGCCUGCUAGAACGCGCCCGACGGUGAGGGAUGAAAGCUAGGGGAGCGAACCGGAUUAGAUACCCGGGUAGUGCCAGCUGUAAACGAUGCAG
rnacentral:rRNA from 1 species